CCCCCGAGCGGGGUACUCGGGGAGACGGAGGAGGGGGAAGCUGGGAGCCACAGUUAGUGCCGCGGCGGAUGCCCUGUGCGGUUGCACGGCUCGCCCGCCCCAAGAAAUGGCCCUGAAUGGCAGAGAUGAUGUUUCUUCUCCGCAAGCAGGGAGUGAACAUAAUAACGUACCUGGACGACCUGCUGAUAAAAGUGCCCUCCAGGGAGAGGUUUAUAUAUAGUGGCAAGUUCUGAAUUAGCUUAGUGAUAUCAUUCAGGUGCUUGAAAGGGAGGGGUAUUUCUAAGCAAGAAAAAAAAGGCAUUUUGUUUCCCCCAGCACCCUGAAUGAUAACAGUAACCAGAUUUAAAUCCCACAGAAUAUUAGAAUUCAGAGAUCUCGGUUACAUAUAUUUGCGCAAAUGUAUGAACAAGCCCCAAAGCCGCGUCAAGGCCUCUCUAUAUAUUUGGGGUCCUUAGCACUAUAUCUAGAUGCAGGGUGUGGCACCCCAAAAAAACCAGCAUAAGCCAGAAAGCCCAGGGUAGCAUACCGGUGAAAAAACUAUAGUGUUAAUAAAUUAGUAUUAGGAAGCUGAAGCUAUAAAGAAACUGAUACAAAAAUGAUAUGUAAUUAAAAUGGAGAAAUAGUGUUAAAGAAAUUAGUAAAUGAUAAGUGUUAAUAGAAUGUAAAGGUAUGCCACACUAAAGCUAUCCAGCUCAGCCAAUUCAGGGGCACCACACCCCACACCUCCAUUACCACAAUCUGGGUCAAUGAUUAACCAGCAAGGAGCCACAUGAUAAUGGCUCCUUACUUAAAUAUAUCUAAGCUAAGAGCUACCUACCUUGGAGCAACCCCAUAAUGCUCCAUAUGGCAUGUCAGGGCCUGCACCUCCUCCUAAUGCAGGAACCUCUCUGCCUCUCACAACAGACAUAUAUAGUGGCAGGUGCUCAAUUAGCUUAGUGAUAUGAUUCAGGUGAAAGGGAGGGGUAUUUCUAAGCAAGAAAAAAAAGGCAUUUUGUUUCCUCCAGCACUCUGAAUGAUAACAGUAACCAGAUUUAAAUCCCACACAAUAUUAGAAUUCAGAGAUCUCUAGGGAGAGGUUGUUGGACAGCAUUGCCCUCUCAACCCGACUACUUCAGGAUCACGGAUGGAUUCUGAACCUACCAAAAUCCCACCUGGAACCAACACGGAGGCUUCUGUUCCUGGGGAUGAUACUGGAUAUGGAGGAACAGAAGGUAUUCCUUCCAUUGGAAAAGGCAUUGGUAAUUCAGUCGAUGGUGCGGGAUGUUCUAAAACUAGCCCAGAUAUCUGUGCAUUUAUGCAUUCGCCUUCUGGGGAAGAUGGUCGCCUCUUACGAGGCUCUGUAGUACAGAAGGUUUCAUGCGAGGCCCUUCCAGCUGGUUCUGCUGGACAAAUGGUCCGGAUCGCAUCUUCACAUGCACCAGAGGAUACGUCGGUCACCAAAAGCCAGGAUUUCUCUUCUGUGGUUGCUUCAGACUUCUCACCUGACCGAGGGCCGAAGGUUCGGGAUUCAAAAUUGGAUUCUGCUAACCACAAAUUUUAGCCCGGAAAGGCAUUCUGGACAAGGUUAUUCCAAUCCUAAUCCAUGCCAGGAAAGGGGUAACGUCUAAACAUUACCACCGUAUUUGGAAAAAAUAUGUCUCAUGGUGUGAAAACAGGAAAUUUCCUGUAGUGGAAUUUCAGCUGGGACGUUUUCUCUUUUUUCUACAGUCGGGUGUGGAUGGCCUACGUUUGGGCUCCUUGAAGGUCCAGAUUUCAGCCUAAUCCAUUUUCUUCCAGAAACAAUUGGCUUUCCUCCCUGAGGUUCAGACGUUCUUGAAGGGGGUUCUGCACAUCCAACCGCCCUUUGUGCCUCCCACGGCACCUUGGGAUCUUUACGUGGUGUUGCAGUUCCUACAAUCAGAAUGGUUUGAGCCUUUACAGGAGGUUGACGUAAAGUUUCUUACAUGGAAGACCGUUACACUGUUGGCCUUAGCUUCUGCAAGGCAUGUGUCGGAACUGGGGGCGUUGUCUCACAAAAGCCCCUAUUUGAUUUUUCAUAAGAUAGAGCUGUACUCAAAACUCGUCAGCAAUUUCUUCCUAAGGUGGUGUCUGCGUUUCAUAUCAACCAACCUAUUGUGGUUCCGGUGCUUACUAACACCUCUGCUACCUCAAAGUCCUUGGAUAUUGUGAGAGCUUUGAAAAUCUAUGUGAAGCGGACAGCUCGUCACAGGAAAUCUGACUCGCUAUUUGUUCUCUAUGAUCCCAAGAAGAUUGGGUGUCCUACUUCAAAGCAGUCUAUUGUUCGCUGGAUCAGGCUUACUAUCCAGCAUCUUAUUCAUCGGCAGGAUUGCCGGUUCCUAAAGUACAGGCCCACUCUACUAGGUCGGUGGGUUCUUCCUGGUCGACUGCACGGGGUGUCUCUGCUUUACAGCUCUGCCGAGCAGCUACUUGGUCGGGUUCGAACACGUUUGCUGAGUUCUACAAGUCCAAUACUUUGGCCUCUGAGGACCUUCAGUUUGGUCAAACAGUUCUGCAGGAACCUCAGCACUCUCCCACCUGAUUUGGGAGCUUUGGUACAUCCCCAUGGUACUAAUAUGGACCCCAGUUUCCUCUAGGACGUAAGAGAAAAUAGGAUUUUAAUUACCUACCGGUAAAUCCUUUUCUCGUAGUCGUAGAGGAUACUGGGCGCCCGCCGAGUGCCUCUUUUUCCUGCACUGUUACUUUGUUAAGUAAUGUUGUUGGUUCAGCUCUUGCUGUUCCUGUUCCUGUUCAAGUUGGUUAGCAUGUCUUUCCUCUUGUUUGUGUGUGCUGGUUCGAAUCUCAUCACUGUUCUGUUACAACCUUCCUCAGGAUAUGUUCGUCUCCUCGGGCACAGUUUCUAGACUGAGUCUGGUGGGAGGGGCAUAGAGGGAGGAGCCAGUGCACACUAUUGAUUUCUUAAAGUGCCCAAGGCUCCUAGUGGACCCGUCUAUACCCCAUGGUAUUAAUGUGGACCCCAGUAUCCUCUACGGACUACGAGAAAAGGAUUUACCGGUAGGUAAUUAAAAUCCUAUUUUUUGUGAGAGCCAGCACGCCAGCUGUGUAACACAUUGUGAAUGAGGUUGGGAGUGUGUGUAGGAGAAUUUGUGAAAUGGGAGGCAGGCUGGGUGAUUACUGGAGAGUUACAACAGAGGAGCUCCCUGAACAUGAAGUGAAUUUAAGGGUACAUCCAGAUGUACCCUUGUAGGUGUUACCUACUCUUAUGGUGCAAGCACAUGUACAUUUCACAGAUCUGGUGCAGACAUGAUUACUGCUCAUUUUCUACAGCUGCAACUGCUGGUUUCAGGAUCCGGUCAAGAUGCUGGCUGCCGGGAACCCAGCAGUCGGAAUACGGACACUGGAAUCUAGGAAAGCUCAGGACACGGACGCUGAAAUCCCAACAGCUGGCAUCCGAACUAAUCAUAGCUAAUUUAAACCUUUGGCAGAUGUUAUCGUAAAUAGAUUAGCUUCUCCAUUCUGGAUUUUAAAGGGCACACUUCAGGGAUCCCCCUUGUCGAUACAACCCUGACAUAUCUGGACUCGUAGCUGGCACUCAAGAAUAUAAGUUGGCAUCAUACGCGGGAGACAAUCACCAAACCUCUUGCUCCCUGGCUAUAUCAACUGGAUCACUGAAAGCAGAUUCUGGACGUCCUACCACAGGGGAGGUGAAGGAGUUGUUGCAGUUGCCGUGGACAUUAUACUUAUAUGCACUCUUCUCAUCUAAUGCUGGUAAUUGUCCAUUUGGACUCCUUGUGUGGAUACUCCUAUUGCUGCUAGACAGACUGCACUUUGUGUCACUCUUACUACUGCCAUUAUACUUUUAACCGUGUGGGAAUUGAUGUUUUUAUAUGUGUUUAAUAAAUGUUUUUUAACCACUAAAA